UCUCUGAUAGUAUAUCGGUUAGUACACGCGCCUGUCAUACGGUCUUCGUUGAUCACUUACCGCGCGAAAGCUGGGUUCGACUCCCAGUCAGAGAG